GGAAGACACAGGCUCACCAGCAUCCUCAGAAGCCAGUACCCAGCACAGCCCCAAUCCCGCCUUCGCCUUCAGUUCAAGGACUACACACUGGCAGCCUGAAAUUGGCGGUGACAAGACAUCGGUUUCUUUCUCUCCAGUGCUGUCCUUCCAUCUGAACCUGUUCAGAUCCUGCAAAGAGAUAUUGUGGGCCUGAAGGUGGGCCUCCUGCUGAUCGAGGCAUUAGGCUGUUCCAACAAACUCCCCUGGCAGCACCAAACUGACAGUGGUGACCUUCUAACUGGGCUUCCAGAUCCUGCCUCAACUCUCCUGCCCAGCUAUAGGCUGUUCAUGUCUUUCUUAACCAAUCAGAGAUGAUGGAUGAUAAGUUUUAUACAACAUUGAGACAGGAGACUCUUCAAUAAUGAUGACAAUGUCCACGUCCAAACUGCAACCAGAUCUCUGGGCUCAGGAAUCAGCAUCUGAAUACACAGUGCACAAGACCAUCCCCCAACAGCUGUUUGAUUUCUCUACCAAUUAUGCCCCGAGCCACAGAUGCUGUGAUCCCCUCAGGAAGAGGUGGCAAAAGCCUAGAGGAUGUGGCUCCUCCUUCUGAAGCCAGAAUGUUCCCCCGGAACUACUGCCAGCCUAUGUAAACUUUACCCCAAGAAGUGACAUAGGUGACCCCAAGAAUUAAUAAAG